rnacentral:rRNA from 1 species
AAUAUUGCACAAUGGAGGGAACUCUGAUGCAGCGACGCCGCGUGAGCGAUGAAGGUCUUCGGAUCGUAAAGCUCUGUCCUUGGGGAAGAAGGCGAAAGCUUGACGGUACCCAAGAAGAAAGCCCCGGCUAACUACGUGCCAGCAGCCGCGGUAAUACGUAGGGGGCGAGCGUUGUCCGGAAUUACUGGGCGUAGAGGGUACGUAGGCGGCUAUAUAAGUCAGGUGUGAAAUACCAGUGCUUAACACUGGAAUUGCAUUUGAAACUGUGUAGCUUGAGUGCAGGAGAGGAAAGUGGAAUUCCUAGUGUAGCGGUGAAAUGCGUAGAGAUUAGGAGGAACACCAGUGGCGAAGGCGACUUUCUGGACUGUAACUGAUGCUGAGGUACGAAAGCGUGGGGAGCAAACA